rnacentral:rRNA from 1 species
UACAGAGGGUGCAAGCGUUAAUCGGAAUUACUGGGCGUAAAGCGCGCGUAGGUGGUUCGUUAAGUUGGAUGUGAAAGCCCCGGGCUCAACCUGGGAACUGCAUUCAAAACUGACAAGCUAGAGUAUGGUAGAGGGUGGUGGAAUUUCCUGUGUAGCGGUGAAAUGCGUAGAUAUAGGAAGGAACACCAGUGGCGAAGGCGACCACCUGGACUGAUACUGACACUGAGGUGCGAAAGCGUGGGGAGCAAACAGG